rnacentral:lncRNA from 1 species
AUGACAGCUUAUAAUUUAUCCUUAGGUAUAGCCCCAAGCAUUCUUUGCUUGCCAACUCCCUGCAGCUCAGAAGUGGUAAAUGAGUUCACCACAAAGGUUUCUAUUGUACAAUUUCUCUUUGAAAACUGCCUCAGCAUAUUUGGAGAAGACAUCACUUCCCUCUUGGAGAAGAGCUCAAUGACUUGUGAAAACAGUGAUGCUUCAGGUCAUCUGCUGAGAAGGUCAUCUGCUCCUCCUUCACUGUGCUCACUGAAUGAGGACAUUCCAAGAUCCCAGCUCAUCCCAUUUGAGCUUUCAUUUUCCUAAUCCCAUGCAUCUGUGUUCAGGAAAAUCUUCCCACAUGAUAUUCUAUCUUCCCACAUGAUCUUCUAUCUUCCCAUUUCUUCCAUGCUGUAUUACUUUUUUAUUAUUAAUAAUAAAUGCACAUAUUGUGU